UUCAAUCAAUCCUUAUCCCUGUCUGCUGUUCCCACAUGCUUCAAGAGGGCCACCAUUGUUCCUGUUCCCAAGAAAGCUAAGGUAACUGAGCUAAAUGACUACCACCCCGUAGCACUCACUUCUGUCAUCAUGAAGUGCUUUGAGAGACUGGUCAAGGACCAUAUCACCUCCACCGUACCUGACACCCUAGACCCACUUCAAUUUGCUUACCGCCCCAAUAGGUCCACAGACACAAUCACACUGCCCUAACCCAUCUGGACAAGAGGAAUACCUAUGUAAGAAAGCUGUUCAGCGACUACAGCUCAGCAUUUAACACCAUAGUACCCUCCAAACUCGUCAUUAAGCUGGGUCUCGACCCCGCCCUGUGCAACUGGGUCCGGGACUUCCUGACGGGCCGCCCCCAGGUGGUGAGGGUAGGUAACAAGAUCUCCACCCCGCUGAUCCUCAACACUGGGGCCCCACAAGGGUGCGUUCUCAGCCCUCUCCUGUACUCCCUGUUCACCCACGACUGCGUGGCCAUGCACGCCUCCAACUCAAUCAUCAAGUUUGCAGACAGCACUACAGUGGUAGGCUUGAUUACCAACAAUGACGAGACGGCCUACAGGGAGGAGGUGAGGGCCCUCGGAGUGUGGUGUCAGGAAAAUAACCUCACACUCAAUGUCAACAAAACAAAGGAGAUGAUCGUGGACUUCAGGAAACAGCAGAGGGAGCCCCCUAUCCACAUCAACGGGACAGUAGUGGAGAGGGUGGAAAGUUGUAAGUUCCUCGGCGUACAUAUCACGGACAAACUGAAGUGGUCCACCCACACAGACAGCAUGGUGAAGGCGCAGCAGGCUGAAGAAAUUUGGCUUGUCACCAAAAACACACAAUUUUAAAGAUGCACAAUCGAGAGCAUCCUGUCAGGCUGUAUCACCGCCUGGUACGGGAACUGCUCCGCCCAUAACCAUAAGGCUCCCCAGAGGGUAGUGAGGUCUGCACAAUGCAUCACCGGGGGCAUUUCCCUCCAGGACACCUACACCACCCGAUGUCACAGGAAGGCCAAAAAGAGCAAUGACAACCACCCGAGCCACUGCCUGUUCACCCCGCUAUCAUCCAGAAGGCGAGGUCAGUACAGGUGCAUCAAAGCAGGGACCGAGAGACUGAAAAACUGCUUCUAUCCCAAGGCCAGCAGACUGUUAAACAGCCAUCACUAACAUUGAGUGGCUGCUGCCAACAUACUGACUCAAAUGUCUAGCCACUUUAAUAAUGGAAAAAUUUGUAUCACUAAUUUGUAUCACCAGCCACUUUAAAUAUUGUUUAUAUACCCUACAUUACUCAUCUCAUAUGUAUAUACUGUACUCUAUACCAUCUACUGCAUCUUGCCUAUGCCGUUCGGCCAUCACUCAUUCAUAUAUUUUUAUGUACAUAUUCAUUCCUUUACACUUGUGUGUAUAAGGUAGUUGUGAAAUUGUUAGGUUAGAUAUUACUAGAAGCACAAGCAUUUCGCUACACUCGCAUUAACAUCUGCUAACCAUGUGUAUGUGACAAAUCAAAUUUGAUUUGACCGUGGCUCCAAAUUUCUCCAUGAAAGUCUUCCAUACCCGUGACGUGAAUUGGGGGCCACGGUUCGGAGACGAUGUCCAGGAAGACCUGCUGGAACAGUGCCUCAGCGACCUGAAGAGCAGAAGGGAGAGGAAUAAACCGGGAUGACCUAGAAAAUCUGUCCACAACGGUGGUGAAACCAUCAGAGGGGAGAUCAGUAACAAAGCCAAUGGACAGAUGAGACCACUGAGGCACAGGAAGGGGAAGGAGCUUCCCUGCUGGAGCGAUUUUGUUUGGGCACGAGUUGAUAUAGCACACCACGUUCUGCACCAAGGUGGGCCACCAGUAUAUCUCAGAGAUGGAGUGAAUAGUGCGAGUGAUACCCGAGUGGUCAGUGUUGAGGGAUGUGUGCACCCAGGUCAACAGCCUAUCCCUUAUCUCUUUGGGAACGUAGAUGCACUCAGAACGACAGUUAGUGGGUGCGGGCGCUCUCUCCAGAGCCUGGUGAAUGUCCGCAUCUACGUCCCAGACCACAUUGACUGACUCGAGAGGGAAGGCAGGUCCUCCGCCAUUCGGGUGCCCAGUCCGUGAUAUUAAUCUUCGACCAUGAGAUGGUGGGGUUAUGGCGUUGGAGCCAUGGGAGGCCGAGGAUGAUCUUGUGAGCACUAAUUGGGAGGAAGAAAGGAAUGUUUUCCUGAUGAGUGGACUCCACGGUGAGGUGAUGUGUGUAAUGGUUCCGGAUCCUAGUGGUCGAUUAUCCAGGUCUUAAACCGGAAAGGAGAGUGGGUAUGAGGUGAUGUUCAGAGAGGAGGCAUGGGUCUAGUCAAUAAAGCUCCCAGCAGCACCGGAAUCCACUAGCGCUGUAGAAACAGUACAUGAGGGACAGCCAGCUAGUGUGAGCGACACUAAAAAGGAUUUGGCUGAAAAUGAUGAAGAUGGGAUACUCACACCUGCCCCAGGAGGUGAAAGAUCACGUGACCGUCCCUCUGCUCUCGUGGAUCCCGAGUUGGAACCUAUCGGACACUGAAGCUGGUGCCCACCUUGACCACAAUAGGGACACAGCCCCAGCUGUUUCCGUGUACGUCGUUCAGCAGCGGGGAGGCGUGUGACCCCUACCUCCAUGGGAUCAGGGUCUCAUACAGAGUGGUCACUGAGGGAGAGCACUGAGGGUACCGACGCUCCCAAGGUAGGUUAUCCAGGUGGAUGGCCUUCGCGAUGAGUGAGUCCAAGGAGAGGUUGUCGUCUCGACAUGCCAAUUCCGUCUGGACUUCCUCGCGCAGUCCUCUUCUGAAUAGCUACGGAGCUCAUUCCAUCUGCUGGAUACUGCUACAGUCCAGAAGGUGAGCAUAUACUCGGCCUGGUCAUCCUACCGUAGUUGGAAUAGGGAACCCCCCUCUCUGCCGUCCGGUGGAUGAUCGAAGAUACCUCUGAACAGAGGCACGAACCCUUCAUAUGAAUCCAGCUCCUCCGCGCCUCUCUCCCAGACGGCCGUAGCCCACUCCAACACCCACCCAGUCUCAGUGGUGGGGGCUCCCGUCGGGUGCACAAAAUAGAGGGAGCACUGAAGUAGACAGCCACGGCAUUUAGAAGGGGUUCCGUCAUAUUUAUGGAACAAACGUGUCGCUGACCUGGGGGACCUUCUGAAUGGACUGGUGUGCUGGCACGCCUGGUGGAAGAGUAUCCUCCGCUAGUUGAAGGCAACGCCUCUUGGGCAUGUUUGAGAUGUUGAAGACUGCGAAGAACCUCUUCCAUAGCCAUCCCCAGUUGUGCCAGCUGGUCGUGGUGUUGACGAAGUAGGGGGUGUCCCUGUUCGUCGACCAUCUGGGAGAUGUCCGGAUUUCCUGCUGCUUCCAUUUGUUGAGGCAGUAUUCUGUAACGUAGACGCUGGGAGUCGGGAAGCAAGUGCAGGUGGGGAGUUUAAUAAUAAACUAAACGCGGACCAAUACAAGAAACAAGAGCCGCGUACGAACAUGAAACAACAGCAAUACUGCCUGGGGAAUAAACCUGUGUGACUGCCAGAUAUAGAGGAGGUAAUGAGUGAGGAAAUGGUGUCCAGGUGUGCCUCGUCAUGAGGAGCAGGUGCACGUACUGAUUGAUGCCAGGUGCGCCUAAUGAUGGUUGCCAGGACUGGCGACAUGGAACGCUGGAGAGGAGCGGCAGGAGUAGAUUUGACAGUAUUAAUUAACUAUUGAUAAAAAAACAAUAGUUUCUACCUUGUGGUCAGGUGUAUAUGCCUCAUUAUAUUAGUUAACUAUUGAUAGAAAAUGAUAGUUGCUCCCUUGUGGCCAGGUGUAUAUAGGUGCUCCCCUUUCUCCAACUAAACAGAACAAGUCCACCUCCACCUAUGUUCUAAAGUGUAUGAUGCUGAAUUUGUCUUAAGUCUUUUUCUCAGGAGACUAUCACCAUGGCAAAGUUGACCAUAUUUUUGCUUCUCAGCGCAGCCUUUGCUCUGGGUGAUGCAAGUAAGAGAUAUACCUUUGCUCUUUUUGUUAUUUAUGUAUUUUUUUUUACUCUUUUUAGUUAGAUAAGAGGUGUUUAUUGAUGUGUCGGUAGCAGAGGUAUUCUUAUCAAUGGUUUGAUUACCUGUUCACAUUCAUCAGAUGCAGUUUGAUGAUAUCAUUCCACACUUUUUAAAGAGCAGAUUAGUAUUAAUCUUCUGUCUUUGGCUCUCUUUGUUGUAGGGGAUCUGAAUGAUGCAGAGAAACAAAUUAUGGAGAACCUGAUACGCAACCUGCCAAUCUGUAAAAUGCCAUCCUCAUAUCAACAGACUUUCUGAAACCUGCAGAAAACUAUAAUGUCACAUUGUUUCGUUAAUGGACUGAUAACGCACAGAUAGCCGUGGUGCUGUGUUCAAUAGCACCACGGCUGGAACGCACUUUUGACCACUCGGAUUGUGAUGAUGGAACUAAUCAUUUCAUCAAAACAUUGAAUGUUAUCUCUCCCUCCUACAGAGUCUGAGGAGAUUUUAUUUAUUUAUUUUACCGUUAUUUUACCAGGUAAGUUGACUGAGAACACGUUCUCAUUUGCAGCAACGACCUGGGGAAUAGUUACAGGGGAGAGGAGGGGGAUGAAUGAGCCAAUUGUAAACUGGGGAUUAUUAGGUGACCAUGAUGGUUUGAGGGCAAGAUUGGGAAUUUAGCCAGGACACCGGGGUUAACACCCCUACUCUUACGAUAAGUGCCAUGGGAUCUUUAAUGACCUCAGAGAGUCAGGACACCCGUUUAACGUCCCAUCCGAAAGACGGCACCCUAUACAGGACAGUGUCCCCAAUCACUGCCCUGGGGCAUUGGGAUAUUUUUUAGACCAGAGGAAAGAGUGCCUCCUACUGGCCCUCCAACACCACUUCCAGCAGCAUCUGGUCUCCCAUCCAGGGACUGACCAGGACCAACCCUGCUUAGCUUCAGAAGCAAGCCAGCAGUGGUAUGCAGGGUGGUAUGCUGCUGGCUUAGAGAUGGGAGCGAAGGAGAAGCAGGGACUACAAACCAGGAGUUCAUCAUGCCCACCUGGUUGGCAUAGUUAUUUAUCCUUUAUUUAACUAGGGAAGUCGAUUUUAAGAAGAAAUUCUGAUUUACUAUGACUGCCUACCCCAGCCAAACCCUAACCAGGACGACGCUGGUCCAAUUGUGCACCGCCCUAUGGGACUCCCAAUCACGGCCAGUUGUGAUCUAGCCUGGAAUCGAACCAGGGUCUGUAGUGACGCCUCUAGCACUGAGAUGGAGUGCCUUAGACCGCUGAGCAACUCGGGAGGCCCAUGGGACACACUGCUAUCACUACGUCCCCAUCUUGGCCAAAUGGCCAGAGGCAGAGGUACCUUUUUAAAUUGCUGUUAACAAAUGUCUAUAUUUAGGGCCAGAUUUACUCCUUCUAAACCUCAUAGGAUUAGUGUAGUGUAUUUCACAGGGUUGCUAAACUAAAACUUGAUAUGUGCUAUUCCUUUUCUUUAUCUUUUAUAUUCAGAAGCUUCCUAUAUAUAAAAUAAUCAUUACAUUUUUACUCUCAAAUGACCAAACAGGCUUGGUUAACACUGGAGGCCACUUCAGUCUCCAGAGUUGGGUAAAGCUGCUUUUAGUUUUUGUUGCACCCUUUUAUGUGGAACUUCCAGAGCUCUAAGAAAUGAAAUGUUCUGGUCCCACAGUUCAAAGUAACGAUUGGAGACAGCCAUGUUGAUUAAUGUGUUUGUUCUAAAUGUUUUGUAUAUUGUAUGUGUUUGACUGUAUUUCUACAGGGCUCAUCUGUAAAAGAGACCCUAGUCCCAGUAUGACAUACCUGUCAUGGGACCUGUCCAGUCCCAUCCAUCAGCUGUUUACCAAAACAAUGGCGAGGAGAUUGCACUUUCCUUUAAAGAACAGUGGUGUUUAGUGUCUGCUCGUUACACAUCUGCCUGUGCGCUCUUUAGGUGGGUCUUUGGCUUUGGAACGACGGGUCCAGGUUUAGCUACCGGAACUGCGGCCAGGGGCAACCCGAUAACCACAACUAUGGUGCAGUGAACGACAACACGAAUGGCUGUGAGCAUUGCAUGGAGAUGAACUACGGGGGUGACCGUGGCUUGAAUGAUGCACCCUGCCGGAUUCAACGGCCAUUCAUGUGUUCCAGAAAAAUGUGAUUCCUACAGAUUAGUUGAGAAUACGUUAUAUCGUUACUCCCCUGGUCCGUCUGUCAUCAUGUUUAGUGUACUUUUAUAUUCUUGUUGAUUUUAAUGUGGGAUUAUAUUGUUUUUCUAUCUUGAUGAUUAUUGCUGAUUCAGUAAAGUGACUUUGGAUGUCUUGAAAAGCGCUUAAAAUAUAUCAUUAUUGUUUUUAUUAUUAUAUCUGAGACCCUCUCGGGAUAAGUGAUUCUUCAAUAAAGCCACAGUCUGUAAUA